rfam:Brassica oleracea var. oleracea cultivar TO1000 chromosome C6, whole genome shotgun sequence
GAUCUAUUAGCUCAGUUGGUUAGAGCGUCGUGCUAAUAACGCGAAAAUCACAGGUUCGAAACCUGAAUAGGCCA